CUUUAAAGAAGUGGUGUAAUAGUGAAUUUAUGUUUGUUUCUGGCAACAGCCAGGGGCGAUAAUUACUAUUUGAAACUAUUUGACUAUGUGUAGAAAACAAUACUCGUGUAGUCUCCAUGACUGUAAACAACAUAUAUAUUACGAAUAUUUCUAACGAAGUAUCAUAGUUUGCCUAAAGCAGCUGAGACUGGAAAUACAGCUCACUAAGCAAGCUCUAAAGGCCACUCAGUUAUAUUAAAUAUGAGCGGAACGGAGUAUUAGAGUAAAGUGAGAGCUGAUGUCGCCGUUAUUAGCUAGCAAGCUACUAAACGUAAUAGAAUUUUAUAAUCGAAAUAAUCUCUGAAUACUACAUAGAUCUGGUCGUGAUCAAUCGGUCGUUAAGGUAUAACCUCGGUGAACGAUCCUAACCAAAUACUCUGCAAAGGACAGCUGAACAAUACGAAUCGAUUUAGAGUCUAGCCAACUUUCUUUCUCAAUCACCACUCAUUGGUCAAAAAGACUUCAAGUUGGCUUGCGAAUAUCUUUUUUUCACUAUGAUGUUCUGAAUACUAUACCAGCUAUCGGAUGUAAGUCGUUGAAGCCUUCAAGCUCGGUCAAAUAUCUUAAUUUCUCGUAUCUCUUUCACCUACCGGUUAAACUCAUUGAACUCUUUCUCUACCGGCUUUUUAACUCUUAUCUAAGCUCUCUUAAGACAUUUUAAUCCUUCGGCUCUCGAUUGUGAGUCCUUGAGACUCUGAAACUCGGUAAAAUAUUAAAAACGGAAUAAUUUUAUGAUUUGUUUUCAUUCUACAUAUGAUCACAGGAGUUCAAAACUCAAAAAA